rnacentral:lncRNA from 1 species
CUUGGUGGGUUAAAUGAAUUAGCAAUACUUUUUUUAGAAAUUAAUUUAAAAUACAAAUUACAUUAGUAUUUUUUUUAUUAUGGUCUAAAUGAAAAAUAAUAUGUUUUAAAUUUAUUGGUUGAAAUUUGCCACGUCACCUUUUUCUCGGGAGAUUUAUGGAUGUGGCUCUAAUGAGUGCCACCUUUACACAAGAAGUUGCACAAAUUUUGAUUUUCCAUGAGUUACUUAUGACUACGCCAACCAACUCUCUGCAAGAAACUAUACCAUGUGUCAAUUUCUAUGUGGCAAAUAACAUACGCUAUGCUUUACACGUGUAUACUCUCAUGCCCCACUAAAAUACAAAUUAAAAAAAAAUCCUUAAAUUUCCAGUAUUGUAAAUUUUACCCAUGGACUUAAAAAAUAACAAUUAUUACGUCAACUAUUUAUUUCUAAAAUUAAGAUAUUAAUUAAUUAAUUAUAUAACCUCUAUGAGACGUAAGUGUGAACUGAAAAGGAAAUUUGUAUGAUUACUUGGCGGAUUCUAGGGCUAACAAGCAAGCAAAGAUUCUAAAAAAGAAUCAUUGAGUUCAGUUAAAGAUUUUAUUUUUAGGCUUUAGUCAUUUUAGCUUAAUUUAACUCUAUAAAUUUCAAUGACCUCUCUCUUCAUUUUCAUCUCAAAAUUUUCUUUCGCCAUUAUAUUUUUUCCUUCUCUUCAUAGUUAAAGAAAUUAAAAUUUUCUCCUGAUAAGGUAUCUCUUGUUUCAAUUUGCUUGAAAUGCAUUAAAGAAAUAGACUGAUGUGUUUGCUGGGGAAUUGACAGAGAGAAGAAAUGGGAAAGAACUCGUACGAGGAGGCCAUUGAAGCUCUGAAGAAACUCCUCAAGUAAGUUUUGAAAGAAAGCCUUUUCAUCUCAAAAUCAACUGAACUUAACCCUUCAAUUCUUUUGCUUGUUUACUGAAGUUUGUUGGGUUGAUUGCCAGUGAGAAGGGAGAAUUGAAGCCCACUGCAGCAGCCAAAGUAGAGCAGAUAACAGCUGAGUUACAAUCUGGUUCAUCUGGCAGCAUACCCUUCAAUCCAAUUGAGAGAAUGAAAGAAGGCUUCAUUCACUUCAAGAAAGAGAAAUAUGAGUCUGUUUGUUUAUGCAUUUGCUCCCUUAAAUUUCACUAAUUUUGUUAGCUGCUACUUAAAAAAAGUUUUUAUGCCUCUUUUCUGCAGCAAGAAUCCAGGAUUGUACACUGAACUUUCCAAAGGUCAGAGCCCCAAGGUAUAUACAUUCACCAUAGGGACAACUUGUUAAACAUAUACGCAGUGACGGAUCUAAGGUGGCAAGCAAUAGUUGUUUAAUUUUCAAUUUCUUGCAGUUUAUGGUUUUUGCAUGCUCGGAUUCCCGGGUUUGCCCAUCACACGUGCUGGAUUUUCAACCAGGGGAAGCUUUCGUGGUCCGAAAUGUUGCUAACAUGGUCCCACCGUAUGAUCAGGUUGGUUUUAACUUAUUAAUUUUUCUUAGUACACCAUUUACUUUUGUCCUAUUUGAUUUAGAUAAGUUGAUUAAUUGAGUUUUGGGUUUUUAUAAUCCAACAGGUUAAAUACGCAGGGAUUGGUUCUGCAGUUGAAUAUGCAGUUUUGCAUCUCAAGGUGAACAGACAUACUAACUUUUAUGUCUUAAUAAUAUAUUUUUUUUAAUUUAUUUCGGCAGAAAGUGUUAAUUAAUCGAUUAAUCUUCCACAGGUGGAGAACAUUGUUGUGAUUGGUCACAGUGCCUGUGGUGGAAUCAAGGGGCUUAUGACCUUCCCAUUUGAUGGAAACAAAUCUACGUAAGGCUUUAAUCUUAACAUUACCCAUGAAUAUAUGCACGAAAUUUCUUAUGAAUACUUAAACAAAUCAUUCAAAUUGAACAAAAAUUGCAGUGACUUCAUAGAAGAUUGGGUCAGCAUUGGUCUGCCUGCCAAGGCGAAGGUGCUUGCUGAACAUGGAGGUGCAGAUUUGCCAGAACUCUGCACACACUGC